rnacentral:rRNA from 1 species
UUGAACGCUGGCGGAAUGCUUUACACAUGCAAGUCGGGCGGCAGCGCGGGGGCAACCCUGGCGACGAGCGGCGAACGGGUGAGUAACAUAUUGGAACGUACCCAAACAUAAAGGACAACUAGUCGAAAGACUAGCUAAUACCGCAUACGUCCUGAGGGAGAAAGCGGGGAAUCGCAAGACCUCGCGCGUUUGGAGCGGCCGAUAUCUGAUUAGCUAGAUGGUGGGGUAAAGGCCCACCAUGGCGACGAUCAGUAACUGAUCUGAGAGGAUGAUCAGCCACACUGGAACUGAGACACGGUCCAGACUCCUACGGGAGGCAGCAAUGGGGAAUUUUAGACAAUGGGGGAAACCCUGAUCCAGCCAUUCCGCAUGAGUGAAAAAGGCCUUCGGGUUGUAAAGCUCUUUCGGCAGGAACGAAACGGCGGAAUCUAAUACAUUCCACUAAUGACGGUACCUGAAGAAGAAGCACCGGCUAACUACGU